rnacentral:rRNA from 1 species
CCUUGACAUCCAGAGAACUUAGCAGAGAUGCUUUGGUGCCUUCGGGAACUCUGAGACAGGUGCUGCAUGGCUGUCGUCAGCUCGUGUUGUGAAAUGUUGGGUUAACGUCCGCAACGAGCGCAACCCUUAUCCUUUGUUGCCAGCGGUUCGGCCGGGAACUCAAAGGAGACUGCCGGUGAUAAACCGGAGGAAGGUGGGGAUGACGUCAAGUCAUCAUGGCCCUUACGGCCAGGGCUACACACGUGCUACAACGGCGCAUACAAAGAGAAGCGACCUCGCGAGAGCAAGCGGAACCUCAUAAAGUGCGUCGUAGUCCGGAUUGGAGUCUGCAACUCGACUCCAUGAAGUCGGAAUCGCUAGUAAUCGUAGAUCAGAAUGCUACGGUGAAUACGUUCCCGGGCCUUGUACACACCGCCCGUCACACCAUGGGAGUGGGUUGCAAAAGAGGUAGGUAGCUUAACCUUCGGGAGGGCGCUUACCACUUUGUGAUUCAUGACUGGGGUGAAGUCGUAACAAGGUAAGCGUAGCGAG